rnacentral:tRNA from 1 species
AGGAUAGUAGUUAAUCAUAACAUUUAAGUUGCAUUUAAAAAGUAUUGAGUAAUCAAUCUAUCUUA